rnacentral:tRNA from 1 species
GGGCCUAUGGCGCAGUUGGUAGCGCGCCUCGUUCGCAAUGAGGAGGUCAGGGGUUCGAAUCCCCUUAGGUCCA